GACGAACGCUGGCGGCGUGCUUAACACAUGCAAGUCGAACGGACAGGCCCUGCUUUUGUGGGGUGCUCGAGUGGCGAACGGGUGAGUAACACGUGAGUAACCUGCCCUUGACUUUGGGAUAACUUCAGGAAACUGGGGCUAAUACCGGAUAGGAGCUCCUGCUGCAUGGUGGGGGUUGGAAAGUUUCGGCGGUUGGGGAUGGACUCGCGGCUUAUCAGCUUGUUGGUGGGGUAGUUGCUUACCAAGGCUUCGACGGGUAGCCGGCCUGAGAGGGUGACCGGCGACAUUGGGACUGAGAUACGGCGCAGAAUCCUACGGGAGGCAGCAGUGGGGAAUAUUGCACAAUGGGCGGAAGCCUGAUGCAGCAACGCCGCGUGCGGGAUGACGGCCUUCGGGUUGUAAACCGCUUUCGCCUGUGACGAAGCGUGAGUGACGGUAAUGGGUAAAGAAGCACCGGCUAACUACGUG
rnacentral:rRNA from 1 species